GGCUGUAGCUCAGUGGUAAAGCUCUUGCCUUGCAUGUAUGAGGCACUGGGUUCCAUCCUCAGCGAACCA
rnacentral:tRNA from 1 species